GAAGAAGAACUGACGGUACUUGAUGAAUAAGCCACGGCUAAUUCCGUGCCAGCAGCCGCGGUAAUACGGGAGUGGCAAGCGUUAUCCGGAAUUAUUGGGCGUAAAGCGUCCGCAGGCGGUUUUACAAGUCUGUCGUUAAAGCGUGGAGCUCAACUCCAUUUCAGCGAUGGAAACUGUAAGACUCGAGUGUGGUAGGGGCAGAGGGAAUUCCCGGUGUAGCGGUGAAAUGCGUAGAUAUCGGGAAGAACACCAGUGGCGAAAGCGCUCUGCUGGGCCAUAACUGACGCUCAUGGACGAAAGCCAGGGGAGCGAAAGGGAUUAGAUACCCCUGUAGUCCUGGCCGUAAACGAUGAACACUAGGUGUCGGGGGAAUCGACCCCCUCGGUGUCGUAGCCAACGCGUUAAGUGUUCCGCCUGGGGAGUACGCACGCAAGUGUGAAACUCAAAGGAAUUGACGGGGGCCCGCACAAGCGGUGGAGUAUGUGGUUUAAUUCGAUGCAACGCGAAGAACCUUACCAGGGCUUGACAUCCUGCGAAUCCCUUGGAAACGAGGGAGUGCCUUCGGGAGCGCAGAGACAGGUGGUGCAUGGCUGUCGUCAGCUCGUGUCGUGAGAUGUUGGGUUAAGUCCCGCAACGAGCGCAACCCACGUCUUUAGUUGCCAGCAUUUAGUUGGGCACUCUAGAGAGACCGCCGGUGACAAACCGGAGGAAGGUGUGGAUGACGUCAAGUCAUCAUGCCCCUUACGUCCUGGGCUACACACGUACUACAAUGCUACGGACAAAGAGCAGCAAACUCGCGAGGGCAAGCAAAUCUCAUAAACCGUGGCUCAGUUCAGAUCGUAGGCUGCAACUCGCCUACGUGAAGGAGGAAUCGCUAGUAAUCGCAGGUCAGCAUACUGCGGUGAAUACGUUCCCGGGCCUUGUACACACCGCCCGU
rnacentral:rRNA from 1 species